rnacentral:tRNA from 1 species
UCCCAGGUGACUUAGUGGUAAAGAAUCUGCCUGCAAUGCAGGCGACAUGGGAGUUACUGGUUCCAUCCUUGGAU